GAUGAACGCUGGCGGCGUGCCUAAUACAUGCAAGUAGAACGCUGAAGGAGGAGCUUGCUCUUCUGGAUGAGUUGCGAACGGGUGAGUAACGCGUAGGUAACCUGCCUGGUAGCGGGGGAUAACUAUUGGAAACGAUAGCUAAUACCGCAUGACAACAGUUAUUGCAUGAUAACUGUUUAAAAGGGGCAACUGCUCCACUACCAGAUGGACCUGCGUUGUAUUAGCUAGUUGGUGAGGUAACGGCUCACCAAGGCGACGAUACAUAGCCGACCUGAGAGGGUGAUCGGCCACACUGGGACUGAGACACGGCCCAGACUCCUACGGGAGGCAGCAGUAGGGAAUCUUCGGCAAUGGACGGAAGUCUGACCGAGCAACGCCGCGUGAGGGAAGAAGGUUGUCGGAUCGUAAAGCUCUGUUGUAAGAGAAGAACGAGUGUGAGAGUGGAAAGUUCACACUGUGACGGUAGCUUAACAGAAAGGGACGGCUAACUACGUG
rnacentral:rRNA from 1 species